AUUGAACGCUGGCGGCAUGCCUUACACAUGCAAGUCGAACGGUAACAGGUCUUCGGAUGCUGACGAGUGGCGAACGGGUGAGUAAUACAUCGGAACGUGCCUAGUAGUGGGGGAUAACUACUCGAAAGAGUGGCUAAUACCGCAUGAGAUCUACGGAUGAAAGCAGGGGAUCGCAAGACCUUGUGCUACUAGAGCGGCCGAUGGCAGAUUAGGUAGUUGGUGGGACAAAAGCUUACCAAGCCGACGAUCUGUAGCUGGUCUGAGAGGACGAUCAGCCACACUGGGACUGAGACACGGCCCAGACUCCUACGGGAGGCAGCAGUGGGGAAUUUUGGACAAUGGGCGAAAGCCUGAUCCAGCAAUGCCGCGUGCAGGAUGAAGGCCUUCGGGUUGUAAACUGCUUUUGUACGGAACGAAAAGCUCUGGGUUAAUACCCUGGGGUCAUGACGGUACCGUAAGAAUAAGCACCGGCUAACUACGUGCCAGCAGCCGCCGUAA
rnacentral:rRNA from 1 species